rnacentral:tRNA from 2 species
AAUUUAUUGAUAAUAUUUUGAUAUUUUUAGAUUCUAAUUCUAAUGCAUUUAUUUGCUAAAAUUAUUAAAAUUUCU